UACGUAGGGUGCGAGCGUUGUCCGGAAUUACUGGGCGUAAAGAGCUCGUAGGUGGUUUGUCGCGUUGUUCGUGAAAACUCACAGCUUAACUGUGGGCGUGCGGGCGAUACGGGCAGACUGGAGUACUGCAGGGGAGACUGGAAUUCCUGGUGUAGCGGUGGAAUGCGCAGAUAUCAGGAGGAACACCGGUGGCGAAGGCGGGUCUCUGGGCAGUAACUGACGCUGAGGAGCGAAAGCGGUGGGGAGCGAACAGG
rnacentral:rRNA from 1 species